rnacentral:piRNA from 1 species
UGAACUUACGGACUAGACCUACGGUCAAU